UUUUACAUCAUUUUCAGUCUGUUUGCUGUCGAGCUUAAUUUUAAAUUGUGUUUUUGAAAAUGAACUGUCAUUAAACGUAAACUUUUGGUUUGAUUUUCAAAAACGCAAGCGAAGCCAGAAACCACUUAAAUGUGUAUAGACAACACUUUGGUUAGAGUUGUGUCACGUACUUGAACUUUGUUUGUUUCCAGGCCAAGCUCUAGUCAAGAUAACUUUAACCCUUUAAGGAACGAAAAUUUACUAGAAUAAAAAGAAACUUUAAAGCAUUUAAGUUAAUGUGGGAUCGAUUAUUGGAUCCACAUAAUUGGGAAUAUCAGCAUAUACCCAUUUUGGGAUUAAAGAUGUCUCCCUUCUGGCUGCACAGCCUAACCUUACUUUUUGAUGGAUUAAAAUCGGAUAACGUUGAUAUAAAUGCGUGGGUACUCAACUGAAAUUAUGUUUUUAUAUAAAAAAAUUAUGGAAAAUAUAUACAUGAUAAAUGCUUAUUAUUGUAGGGAUAUGCUACCUUGUAAAACACA